rnacentral:rRNA from 1 species
GACGAACGCUGGCGGCGUGCUUAACACAUGCAAGUCACGGGGGCUCGCAAGGGCAACCGGCGAACGGGUGCGUAACACGUGAGCAACUUACCGAUUUGUCGGGGGAUAGCCGGCCCAACGGCCGGGUAAUACCGCAUACGCUCUUUGGGUGGAGUCACCUGAAGAGGAAACCUCCGGGGCAAAUCGAGGGCUCGCGGCCUAUCAGCUAGUUGGUGCGGGUAACGGCCCACCAAGGCGAUGA